rnacentral:snRNA from 11 species
AGCUUUGCGCAGUGGCAGUAUGGUAGCCAAUGAGGUUUAUCCGAGGCGCGAUUAUUGCUAAUUGAAAACUCACACGGGGAGCAUGUGAGUGCAUCCCUAAGAUCCCGAGAGGAGAAUGGAGGAGAAGGGAUUGUGGCAUGACCAUCCCCCCUGCGGGGUGAUUUCUCGCUUUCUGUCUCUAUGUCUCUGUCUGUCUGUCGAGA